AGGAAAACGCCUACACGCAGACUAGGUCUCACUGGUGCACGCUGUCACGCACACGUUUGUGUACGUCUUCCAGGUUGGGUUGUGUUGACGCGCUGGAGACCUCAAACACAGCUGGAACAAACCACACCAGAGAGAGUCAGGACGAGGCCUGUGUGGUUCUGUGACACAUCACGUGAAACCACCACAGGCGCAGCGUGAGCUUAGUUCACUGUUGUUCACACAGGCUGUUCAAACACACUGUACCCACCCAGUGGAAGAUUGAUGCGCUCUGGAUGGACGUCCAGUCGUCUGUGACAUCCUGAAGUCAGGCAGCAGUUGUUCCUCAUGGUUGUUUCCUGAUGUUGAUGAGCAGGAUAAAGUACCAGAAUACCAGAGCCCCAGAGGUAAUGUGAAGGUGAAAGACUCACAUGGAUAGUGUUGCAGUAGUGCAUUAAGUGACUUAAACAAACAACACUUUCAAAUGAAUCCAGAGGCAAACCAGAAGCGGAUGGAGAACCGCUAGCACGGGGCCAGACGUGGUCGUCUCCUGAAGACGAGAUGCUUGAGGUGUCCCACAGGUUUGAGAAGCGGUCGGUGCAUCGCUGUGGAGCAGCGCACGAAGAACAAACAGUGAAAUAUUUCCAGAUCUCAUGGUCUGCGGUCGCCUGCAAAGACAAAGCUACUGGCCCACCGCUGUAUGUGUGGGUGAGUGGGUGGGUGGGUCGCUGUGCGUUUCCAGCACAAACAAAAACCAAGACUAAUUUUUUAAAGGUUUGCCAAUUUUUCCUAAAAUUCUCUUCUCUGUUUCCAAAAACAAAUUACUGUUUUUAAUCACAACAGCUCUUCUUUAGUUUUCAACAUGAUAUGCUGCAUAUUCUCAGACGGGCAGGGGAAAAUUCCCAUGCACUGUCAUUCAGAUAGUGAAGAUAAAGGUCAGACUACUUUUGCAAUCUAAUCAUUGUGAGUAGAAGACCAAACACGGCGGAGAUGGAAUUCAGUUUGAGGAGCGCUGAUAAUGAAGAAAUUUCACCAUUUGUAUUUAAAUGUAAAUAUUUACUCCAACCGUACAGUAGUCCUCAUUUCCUCUGCUUAUGCUCAUCGGUUUAGACUGAAAUACUCCAAAAACAACUGGAAAGACCCUCGAGGAUUGAUUCUGAUCCAACCCUCCCUCCUGUGCAACAACACUUGUGGUGAAUUAAACAUGAUGAUACCAAUAACUGUGAUGUUUUCUAGAAACG
rnacentral:lncRNA from 1 species